UACGUAGGGCGCAAGCGUUUGUCCGGAAUUAUUGGGCGUAAAGAGCUCGUAGGCGGCUUGUCACGUCGGAUGUGAAAGCCCGGGGCUUAACCCCGGGUCUGCAUUCGAUACGGGCUAGCUAGAGUGUGGUAGGGGAGAUCGGAAUUCCUGGUGUAGCGGUGAAAUGCGCAGAUAUCAGGAGGAACACCGGUGGCGAAGGCGGGUCUCUGGGCCGUAACUGACGCUGAGGAGCGAAAGCAUGGGGAGCGAACAGG
rnacentral:rRNA from 1 species